rnacentral:lncRNA from 1 species
GGAGAUCUAUACUUUUUCCUUCAGCUGGCAGCGCAACCGGGAUCUCCUUCCUUUUCUUUUUCUUCUUCUUCUUCCUCUUCCUUUCUUCCUUUCCUUUCCUCUCCUUCUUUUUUUUCCUCUCUGUUGCCGUCUGAGAACCCCCCCUCUCUGUCUCUCGGUUUCAUUCCAAAGCCCCAGCAAACCCCCCAAUUAAAUCACAUCAAAAUACUAUUCACCCUUUGUUUAAUAUUAUUAAAUUCCCAUUUUGCCCCUAACACUUCAACAUAUCUACCGUUAUGC